rnacentral:rRNA from 1 species
UACGAAGGGGGCUAGCGUUGUUCGGAAUUACUGGGCGUAAAGCGCACGUAGGCGGGUUGUUAAGUCAGGGGUGAAAUCCUGGAGCUCAACUCCAGAACUGCCUUUGAUACUGGCAACCUAGAGACUGGAAGAGGUUAGUGGAAUUCCCAGUGUAGAGGUGAAAUUCGUAGAUAUUGGGAAGAACACCAGUGGCGAAGGCGGCUAACUGGUCCAGCACUGACGCUGAGGUGCGAAAGCGUGGGGAGCAAACAGGAUUAGAAACCCGCGUAGUCC